CUUUCGGUAGGGGUACCUGCGGAGGGAUCAUUACCGAGUUUACAACUCCCAAACCCCUGUGAACAUACCACUUGUUGCCUCGGCGGAUCAGCCCGCUCCCGGUAAAACGGGACGGCCCGCCAGAGGACCCCUAAACUCUGUUUCUAUAUGUAACUUCUGAGUAAAACCAUAAAUAAAUCAAAACUUUCAACAACGGAUCUCUUGGUUCUGGCAUCGAUGAAGAACGCAGCAAAAUGCGAUAAGUAAUGUGAAUUGCAGAAUUCAGUGAAUCAUCGAAUCUUUGAACGCACAUUGCGCCCGCCAGUAUUCUGGCGGGCAUGCCUGUUCGAGCGUCAUUUCAACCCUCAAGCACAGCUUGGUGUUGGGACUCGCGUUAAUUCGCGUUCCUCAAAUUGAUUGGCGGUCACGUCGAGCUUCCAUAGCGUAGUAGUAAAACCCUCGUUACUGGUAAUCGUCGCGGCCACGCCGUUAAACCCCAACUUCUGAAUGUUGACCUCGGAUCAGGUAGGAAUACCCGCUGAACUUAAGCAUAUCAAAGGCGGAGGAA
rnacentral:rRNA from 1 species